AUCUUGAGCCACGAGAAGUUCAACCGGAGAAUUAUCCUUAUUUGGUAAAGUGGUUUGACGCCAAGAAAGAAAACGAUAUGGUCAAAGAAAGUUUCAUGAGUUUUCUUGCCGGGAAUACGGAUGGAAAUAAAUCGAGAUCAUCAUGGAAGAGACUGUCAGCUUUUUCUCGGAGAUGCGAAGCCUUUUCUUUUAUCAAAAACCCAGAGUGCUCCAGUAAUUGGAUCCAAGUCUUUGGAGGUACUCUAGUUAACAGUCCAUGUUUGACAAACCAUUCCUCUAGAGUUUCAUUAAUUCCAACCGGAUCUUCUUUUUCUUCCGGUUUUGACAAAUCAGAUGAAGCUUCCUCUUUCGCAUGUCUUACAGCUUGUUGUAAUGUCUUCAGAGCUUCUGUCAGUGCUGCAGCUUGUUCAGUGGCAAGCGCUUCAGCUUGUAGUCGGGCAUUGGCUGCAGAAUGUACCACUUCAUUUUUCUCAUCGGUCAAUUUCAAUAGCAGUUCCUUUUGAUUGUGAUAGUCUUCCGUCAAAGUUUUGAUAUCUUCUUUGCACGAGACUAAAGCGGAUUUUUCUUCA